UCAAAGUAAAUAGCAGAAAAGUACUUUAUUACAACAAGAUGUCCAAGACAUCCACUGAGUCUAAUACAUAACCAUAGUCUUCAAUAUUAAUAUCAAAGUGCGGAAAUACGAAACGUAGUAGAUAAGCCUACACAUGCAGCUGACUGGGGGUUUGCCACUAAGAUAAACUAGAACUCAUUGUAGUCCUGGAACUCCUCAAAGUCCUCCAUUGUAACACCCCGGGCUUUAAGGGACAAAGCCGGGUGCAUCUCAUACAUGCGCCAAAGAAGACAACAUAUAUAAUAACAGAGUGUAUAGAGAUAAAUGUCUCAAUAUAAUCAGAGUACUUAUCACAUAGUGGGAGUCUUACAAAAUAAAAGAUGAAUAUAGCAGGAUCUAAAAUCUAUCCUUGGCGCCAGAAAGUCAACUGGGAGACGCCACCUAUAUCGAAUCGAACUCCUCAUUAAGCGACUCCUCCUGAACCACCUGUUCUUCUCCUGUGGGGGGAGGGUGUGAGACAGCAAGGGUGAGCUCACAUACGUUCAUAGCUCAACAAGCUGUGCAGAAUAAUGUGGCAUGAACUCACCAAAGGUGGGAGUUCAUGUGAUGUGUAAAGCUGAUCAACAAUAGGGGUUAAAGCUGAGCAUUGCUUUUAAUAAGUUGGUCAAAUUUUAUUAGCAAUUACUAAAUGUAAUUAAAUACCAAACCAUAAUAAAUAAUAGAACAAAAUUAAUAAAUAAUCCCAUGCAAAUGCAAAUGACAAAUUGAGUUUUAAUUCCAUAGAUUAAUCAUGUGAGGGUCCGAGCCGCUCAUGACCGUGAGCAUAGCUAGUAUACCAAUUUUAUACUCUGCAGAGGUUGCGCAUCUUUACCCACAAGUCAUGUUACCCAUCUGCCAAGGGGUCAUGAAUCCCAUACACCUCUACCAAGGAGGCGAGGCAGGGUAAGACUAUGAGGCCUUUACAAAGUUCCACUAGCUUCAGAAAACCCGCUACAGAUUAUAGGAAGCUUCAGUGCAGGAAUCCCUCGCCUGACCGCCAUCGCAGCAUAAUCAACCCAAGGAACUCCCUACACUAACCACUCCCCUACUGCCCUUGCCCUUUCGGGUAAGGUAGUCAUCCACUAGCUUUCCUAAUUAAUCAGCCAAGGACGUCCCAUUAAACCCUUGUGGUAGCACUGUUUUCCCGGGUGGUCGCUCCAUGUUCCAAAUAACAUAAUGAUCUUUUCAUGAACAUAAAUAACAUAACAGAAUAAUUGGAACAUGGAUGUAAUGAAAUAUUAUCCCGAAACCACAUAAUGCAAUAGCAUAACUACCCAAGUGAAUCAGAGGUAAACAAGGUAAACAUGAUAAAAGACUAGGGUGACCUAUUAGGUCCCAUCAAAAUUAAACCUAUGCAUGAAUAAGUGAUAAUAAAGAACAUUAUUGGGUAACAAAAGUGGAUCAAGGGCACAACUUGUCUGGCACUUGAGAUUCCAGUUACCAGGGUGAUUCUUCAGAUCCUCGAAACCUCGCGCUAGUCGUAGCAAUACAAACAAACAUGGUAUAGAUAAAAUUAACAUCACACCAAACAUAAGUACAAACUAAAUCAUAACAAUCUACGCGUCGCUACGAGAUCGCGGGCUCGAGAACUACUACGAUCGGAGUUACUGGUAAGGAGUUAUGAUUUUAUAGAGGAUUUAUGUGAUUAAAAUGUUAAACUAUAUCAUAAAUUGGUUAAUAUAAAUCAUAUAAGAGGUUAUUCUAUGAAUAAUUAUCUCAACUUUAAUCUAAGUUAUAAAUUAACCAUAGAUCAUAUUCCAGUAGUUUAUAAGCAGUUUAACCAGACUAACCAACAUCAGUUAAAUACAGAUAUGAUUAUAAAAUAAUGAUACAUGGUAUAAUAAAUGUUGUUAUUUCAUAGUAAAUAUUUAUACGAGACUAACACAACUGGAACGAGUCAAUUCGGAAUCAAAAUGAAAGAGUUAUGGUUUUCUAAAGGUUUUAAGUAUUCGAUACAAGAUUAAUUAAGAGAUAUAUUUUAAUAUGGUUUUCAUGUCAAAGCAGAGACACUAUGUGAUAAACAACAUUAUUAUAAAAUUAUAGGAACUGGAAUGAAUAAAUUUGGACCAAGUAUGCAUUUUCUAUGAAUUAAACACAUUCUAGUAUUUAUUUUCACAUAAAAAUCAUUUUCUAAUCAUUUUUACUGAAUUUCUAAUUUUCUGGACUGGGCGUCAAAUACUAGAAAAGGUAGGGUCUCUGGCGCAAGAAUCCGCAAGACUCAAAGCACAUCCGCGGGUUGAUUUGAUAAAAGGACAGGGGCUAUUUUAUAAAGCUAGCCAGCUGAAUGGGUAUGGUGAGUUCUAGGCCGCUGGAUUCAAAUCGUGCGAACAGGAUUAGAUCUACUCACUUAAUGAAUCGGUACGUAGUGUGGUUCCUCGGAUCCAGAUCCGACGGUGCUCAUCACCCCAUCACCCGAUUUGUCCGAUCAACCGCCAACGCUCUAGAUCAACCCAGUGAACUGGUACGCUAAGAUCCGAUCCAGACCGCACGUUCCCAAUCCGACGCCCAGGCUCUUUUACCCUAACCCGACAGCGCCCCGGCGACGGAGCUCAGCUCCCCGCGGUGGCCGGUUCGCCGGCGAGCACGAAAUAUGGUUCCAAACCGCCCCAUCUAGAAAUUGAUCACUACUACACUGAGAGGGGAAGAUGGCGAAACUGCAGAGAGGGGUCUCACCGGCGAUUGAAGAGGUUGCGAGCCUGCCCACGGAGGAGAGCGGAUCCGCGGCUGCGCUUGUACUCCGGCGAGGAAUUCAACCGCAACCGGAUAUCACUAGCGUGAUUGCUUCCAUCCCCAGCUUCGCCAACCUCCAGUGAGCCCCCCCCCGAGGUACGGUUCAGGGGCAGAGUCGCCCCUAAUCUCAAUCCUCGCAGCGGCGGCGGGGACUUAUGUUUUUCUUUUCACGACGUCUAUGGAGGUCGGGUCUGGGCGCUGGUCUUUGCACGCUGGAGAAGGUAAGAAGGAAAGGAAAGAAUGCGGCGCAACAUAUAGGAUCGUGGCUGACGAGGUCACGCCAUGCGCUGCGGGGUUCACGGCGUACUUCCGCCAUGGCCGGUAUUACGUUGAGGCGAAGUCGCAGCUCGAUUGAGGCGACAGACAAAUGGGUCCGACCAGCAGUCCGUGCGUGUGGGGC
rnacentral:lncRNA from 1 species